CCCCAGAUAGUUCAGCUUAAGCCAUGGCCUCUGCACGUAUCUCAACGCUUGCAAUUCUCUUCACACUGAGUGGGCUGAGAGCUCAGUCGGUGACUCAGCCAGAAGAUCAGGUCACUGUGACGGAAGGGGAUCCACUCACUGUGAAGUGCACCUAUUCAAUUCCUGGGAGCCCUAAUCUCUUUUGGUACGUCCAAUAUCCCAACCAAGGCCUCCAGUUCCUUCUGAAAUACUUUACAGGGGACAACCUGGUUAAAGGCAGCAAUGGUUUUGAGGCUGAAUUUAAUAAGAGCCAAACCUCUUUCCACCUGAAGAAACCAUCUGUCCUCGGGAGUGACUCUGCUGUGUACUUCUGUGCUGGGAGUGACACAGCGGUGGGGGCUGCAGGGAGAGCUGAACACAAACCCCUGAGAACAGUAAAAACCAUUUCCCUGAAGCUUUUAUGUCCCUCCACAAGAGGGUGGUGUGGUUCCAGGUUGUGUCACUUAUUAUAA